rnacentral:rRNA from 1 species
UACGAAGGGGGCUAGCGUUGCUCGGAAUUACUGGGCGUAAAGGGAGCGUAGGCGGACAUUUAAGUCAGGGGUAAAAUCCCGGAGCUCAACUCUGGAACUGCCUUUGAUACUGGGUGUCUUGAGUGUGAUAGAGGUAUGUGGAACUCCGAGUGUAGAGGUGAAAUGCGUAGAUAUUCGGAAGAACACCAGUGGCGAAGGUGACAUACUGGAUCAUUACUGACGCUGAGGCACGAAAGCGUGGGGAGCAAAAGGG